GACGAACGCUGGCGGCGUGCUUAACACAUGCAAGUCGAACGGUAAGGCCCCUUCGGUGGUACACGAGUGGCGAACGGGUGAGUAACACGUGAGCAACCUGCCCUUGCCUCUGUAAUAACAGUUGUCAACAGCUGCUAAUACUUAAUAUUCAUCGUCUCCUUCCUGGGGGGUGGUGGAAAGCUCCGGCGGUCAGGGAUGGGCUCGCGGCCUAUCAGCUUGUUGGUGGGGUAAUGGCUCACCAAGGCUUCGACGGGUAGCCGGCCUGAGAGGGGGACCGGCCACACUGGGACUGAGAUACGGCCCAGACUCCUACGGGAGGCAGCAGUGGGGAAUAUUGCACAAUGGGCGCAAGCCUGAUGCAGCAACGCCGCGUGCGGGAUGACGGCCUUCGGGUUGUAAACCGCUUUCAGUAGGGACGAAGGGUGACUGACGGUACCUACAGAAGAAGGACCGGCUAACUACGUG
rnacentral:rRNA from 1 species